rnacentral:rRNA from 1 species
UACGGAGGGUGCAAGCGUUAUCCGGAUUCACUGGGUUUAAAGGGUGCGUAGGUGGGUCUGUAAGUCAGUGGUGAAAUCUCCGGGCUUAACCCGGAAAGGUCAGCCGAUACUGCGGGGCUAGAGUGCAGAAGGGGCAACUGGAAUUCUCGGUGUAGCGGUGAAAUGCGUAGAUAUCGAGAGGAACACCUGCGGCGAAGGCGGGUUGCUGGGCUGACACUGACGCUGAUGUGCGAAAGCUAGGGGAGCGAACGGG